UUCAGAUAAAUGUAAAGAUGAGUAAGUUAUGGAACUGAUCAAAGAGAGUCAUCAGACGGUGAAAGAUGACAUUAGUUUAUAACUAAAGAUGGUCUUUCGAUAUCGUUUUUGAAGUCGAGCAGUUUUGUUAGACGACAACGGGAACUCCCGUUAUAGAGAACGGGUAUUUGUGUAGCAGUAUUCAAUUUUGGCUGUUGUGCUGUACCUAAUAAGAAAUGGCUCGUGAGGGUUAUUUAAAAUAAGGUGGUAACGCGAAAAAGCACUUUCGUCCUUUGU
rnacentral:ncRNA from 1 species